CAGUAGCCACGGUAAUACAGAGGGUGCAAGCGUUAAUCGGAAUUACUGGGCGUAAAGCGCGCGUAGGUGGUUUGUUAAGUUGGAUGUGAAAUCCCCGGGCUCAACCUGGGAACUGCAUCCAAAACUGGCAAGCUAGAGUAUGGUAGAGGGUGGUGGAAUUUCCUGUGUAGCGGUGAAAUGCGUAGAUAUAGGAAGGAACACCAGUGGCGAAGGCGACCACCUGGACUGAUACUGACACUGAGGUGCGAAAGCGUGGGGAGCAAACAGGAUUAGAUACCCGCGUAGUCCCUGUCUCUUAUAC
rnacentral:rRNA from 1 species